rnacentral:rRNA from 1 species
UACGUAGGGUGCAAGCGUUGUCCGGAAUUAUUGGGCGUAAAGGGCUCGUAGGCGGUCCAUCACGUCGGGAGUGAAAAGCUGGGGCUUAACCCCAGUCCUGCUUCCGAUACGGGUGGACUAGAGGUAGGCAGGGGAGAACGGAAUUCCUGGUGUAGCGGUGAAAUGCGCAGAUAUCAGGAGGAACACCGAUAGCGAAGGCAGCUUACUGGGCUGUAACUGACGCUGAGGCACGAAAGUGUGGGGAUCAAACAGG